rnacentral:rRNA from 1 species
GGACUACUGGGGUAUCUAAUCCUGUUUGCUCCCCACGCUUUCGCGCCUCAGCGUCAGUUGCAGGCCAGCAAGCUGCCUUCGCCAUGGGUGUUCCGAUCGAUAUCUACGCAUUUCACCGCUACACCGACCAUUCCACUUGCCUCUCCCGCACUCAAGGUCCCCAGUAUGAAAGGCAGUCUACGGGUUGAGCCCGUACAUUUCACCACUCACUUAAAGACCCGCCUACGCGCGCUUUACGCCCAGUAACUUCGGACAACGCUCGCCCCCUACGUAUUACCGCGGCUGCUGGCAC